AUUGAACGCUGGCGGCAGGCCUAACACAUGCAAGUCGAGCGGAUGAAGGGAGCUUGCUCCUGGAUUCAGCGGCGGACGGGUGAGUAAUGCCUAGGAAUCUGCCUGGUAGUGGGGUAUAACGUCCGGAAACGGGCGCUAAUACCGCAUACGUCCUGAGGGAGAAAGAGGGGGAUCUUCGGACCUCACGCUCUCAGAUGAGUCUAGGUGGGACUAGCUAGUUGGUGGGGUAAGGGCCUACCAAGGCGACGAUCCGUAACUGGUCUGAGAGGAUGAUCAGUCACACUGGAACGGAGACACGGUCCAGACUACUACGGGAGGCAGCAGUGGGGAAUAUUGGACAAUGGGCGAAAGCCUGAUCCAGCCAUGCCGCGUGUGUGAAGAAGGUCUUCGGAUUGUAAAGCACUUUAAGUUGGGAGGAAGGGCAGUAAGUUAAGACCUUGCUGUUUUGACGGUACCAACAGAAUAAGCACCGGCUAACUUCGUG
rnacentral:rRNA from 1 species